GUGGGUCCCUGCCCUUAUACUGGGAUAACUCCGGGAAACCGGGGCUAAUACCGGAUAACAUUUUGAACUGCAUGGUUCGAAAUUGAAAGGCGGCUUCGGCUGUCACUUAUGGAUGGACCCGCGUCGCAUUAUCUAGUUGGUGAGGUAACGGCUCACCAAGGCAACGAUGCGUAGCCGACCUGAUAGGGUGAUCGGCCACACUGGGACUGAGACACGGCCCAGACUCCUACGGGAGGCAGCAGUAGGGAAUCUUCCGCAAUGGACGAAAGUCUGACGGAGCAACGCCGCGUGAGUGAUGAAGGCUUUCGGGUCGUAAAACUCUGUUGUUAGGGAAGAACAAGUGCUAUUUGAAUAAGCUGGCACCUUGACGGUACCUAACCAGAAAGCCACGGCUAAUUACGUGCCAGCAGCCGCGGUAAUACUUAGGUGGCAAGCGUUAUC
rnacentral:rRNA from 1 species